UACGGAGGGGACUAGCGUUGUUCGGAAUUACUGGGCGUAAAGCGCACGUGGGCGGAUUUGUAAGUCAGGGGUGAAAUCCCGGGGCUCAACCUCGGAACUGCCUUUGAUACUGCAAAUCUCGAGUCCGGAAGAGGUGAGUGGAAUUCCGAGUGUAGAGGUGAAAUUCGUAGAUAUUCGGAGGAACACCAGUGGCGAAGGCGGCUCACUGGUCCGGUACUGACGCUGAGGUGCGAAAGCGUGGGGAGCAAACAGG
rnacentral:rRNA from 1 species